CAGCAGCCGCGGGAAUACAGAGGGUGCGAGCGUUAAUCGGAUUUACUGGGCGUAAAGCGUGCGUAGGCGGCUUUUUAAGUCGGAUGUGAAAUCCCUGAGCUUAACUUAGGAAUUGCAUUCGAUACUGGGAAGCUAGAGUAUGGGAGAGGAUGGUAGAAUUCCAGGUGUAGCGGUGAAAUGCGUAGAGAUCUGGAGGAAUACCGAUGGCGAAGGCAGCCAUCUGGCCUAAUACUGACGCUGAGGUACGAAAGCAUGGGGAGCAAACAGGAUUAGAUACCCCAGUAGUCCAUGUCUCUUAUAU
rnacentral:rRNA from 1 species